GACGGAGGAUGCAAGCGUUAUCCGGAAUUAUUGGGCGUAAAGCGUCCGUAGGCGGUUUCAAAAGUCUGUUGUUAAAGCCCACAGCUCAACUGUGGAUCGGCAAUGGAAACUGUGAGACUAGAGAGUGGUAGGGGUAGAGGGAAUUCCUAGUGUAGCGGUGAAAUGCGUAGAUAUUAGGAAGAACACCUGUGGCGAAGGCGGCCAACUGGGCCGACCCUGACGCUGAGGCGCGAAGGCGUGGGGAGCGAACGGG
rnacentral:rRNA from 1 species